AAUCUACCCUCUCCGUUUCAUAAUUCUUGUCUUAAAUUUGCCCGAAAAUGGAUGUAUCUAUUCAUAAAAAAAGCAUUUAGAUACAUGUAAUAUUUCGACAAGAAUUAUGAAACGGAGGGAGUAGCUU
rnacentral:pre_miRNA from 1 species